AGUGAACGCUGGCGGCGUGCCUAAUACAUGCAAGUCGAACGAAGUGGCGCACGGGUGAGUAAUAUAUAGUUAAUCUGCCCUACACAGAGGAACAACAGUUGGAAACGACUGCUAAUACCUCAUAGUGUAGGAUGAGACUAUAUCGUAUCAGCUAGUUGGUAAGGUAAUGGCUUACCAAGGCUAUGACGAGUAACUGGUCUGAGAGGAUGAUCAGUAACAUUGGAAGUGAGACACGGUCCGAACACCUACGGGAGGGGGCGGUAGGGAAUACUACGCAAUGGGGGAGACCCUGACGCAGCAACGCCGCGUGGAGGAUGACACUUUUCGGGGCGUAAAAUCCUUUUAUCAGGAAGGCGGUACCUGAUGAAUAAGCACCGGCUAACUCCGUGCCAGCAGCCGCGGUAAUUC
rnacentral:rRNA from 1 species